AUCACGCAUACGAUCCGUGGACGAGGAGGGAAGAGAGGCGGCCGCAUCGUGAAGGCGUUCACAUCCAUCCACGGCAACAGGAGCUCCUUAUUGCGGCGGUAGCGCAAGAACGACGGCAACUCCAUUGUGCAAUAGCCACCAGCGUCGCUGUGGCUGAGCGAGAAGGAGGACGGCGCCGCAUCCACAUCCUCCUCACCGCGCAAGCCCCAUCCAUGUCCUCCCGCCAGCAGUAAGGAGGACGACACUGCGUGGUUCCAUCAGAACUUGGAAGUGACUGGCGCAGCCCGGUUCUUCCUCUCCCCGGCUGCUUCCCCUCCCGGACGGCACUUGGAUCUGCUCACGAUGGGCGCCAUGGCGCCAUGCCUUCCUGCAAUAGCCAGCGCCACCACACCCUCGCGCCUGCCCGGCACCUCGUCCUACCCUUGCUCAAACACCCGUUGCGAGGAGCCGCGCCUGUUGCCGUGCCUUGUCCACUGAACGCCACCACACCGAAGGAUCCCCCUGCUCCUCAUCAGCGACGGCCGCAGCACGCCGAAGCCCACACCAGCGCCUGCAGGAACCAGUUGAUCUCCCCAUGCCGGUAAGUCACGAUUUCUGAUCCAUUGUCUAUGUUUAUUUGAAGGAUUCUGGCCGCUAACCAGUCAUAGUCUAGUCGAUCGUUCGGGCUAGCCUAUGGACAACAGUUGUGUUGUGAAUUUGGCAUUCUACAUUUUUUAUCUGAGCAAGCAAUUGAAACCUGGCACUGAAAAGGGGUUAUAAGUUUUUGCGACCCUGAAAAUGAAGAUGGAUCUAAAUUGCAGAUUAAAUAUGCAAUCCUUUGCAGAUUGCACAAGAUUAUUUGAUGUGUGUUUUCUUAUAUGCUUUGUGAACCAGUGGUGAUGGUUCAUUAAAAAUAAAUUGGUAGCAAGCAACUUGGUCUUUAUUUCUCAAUCAUGGGUUUUGCUCAUGACGAUCUUGGUUCUUCGUUAGCAUGUAACUUUGUCUAUUAUUGUUGUUAUUUUUUGUGUUUUUUAUUUUAUAGCUUUGUCUUUGUUUCUCUGUACUUUUUGACUGAUAGCGUAGCGACACUGGCCCUGCAUCUUGCCCCAUCAUCGCCGGCCACACCCUUUGGCUAGCUGACUAGAGGUCUGGCAGCCGGCAGGUACUGGUUUGUGAUGGUAUUACGGUGGACUCUAGAUUUGUGGAUUGCUUUCUUCGUUGCAGAACUUGAUGCUUGUAGCCUGCUAAUUUUUAUAUCUUCAAAUUUCUAUAGUUUAGAAGUUGCUAUGUCAUUUGCAUUCUUGCCAGGUAUUUGUUAGUGGUUAAAACCUUGCAACUAAAUAAACAAUAAAAACAUGUAACUACCUAUCGGAGUUUUUCCUAAUGAGAAUUCACUAUUUGUUUCAUUUUUAUCCAACAGCUUUCACUAUGCAGAUAUGCUAUUUUCAUUUCUUAUUCCUUUUUCGAAUCUAAGCCUCUUUAGAAAAGUAGAUCUGCAUUCAAUUGUUGUAAUGAUCAGCAUGUCUGUUGGUUAAACUCUGUGAACUGUUCUUUGCCUCUUGAAUCUGACAUCCUGAACCUAACAAAUAAUUGUGUGCAGAGCAUACAACUAUGGUAGUUAGAUCAUAUAGAACUGUUACUGUUCAUGAGUCACGACCCUAACUAAUCUUAUCAUAUGUUUCUGACAUUGCAAAAUGUUUAGUGCACAAGCAAUCAGAUUUCCUUGAUAACCCCUUUUUGCUGCCUGCAAUUUACUGUGUCAGAGUUACUGUAGUUAGAGCAUUCCCCUGUUAACCUUACAUGCUCGUAGUAUCAUUUUCUCGGGAUGCAUGUCUCCCUAUUCAAAUUCAGUUUUGCAUGUACUGUACACCUUCAUGCACAGUUUGUCUACAUGCACAAUCAUAGGCGUUUGAGUUUUGUUGGGGAUUAUAAAAAUACUGUUAAAAAUUCAAGCCCACGGUAAGUUGCUCAUUAGAGCUUUCUUCUGGCAGUAAGUCGGCAAACUUAUUCUUUAACGAGGGUUAGGACACAAAGCUAGAAGUUGCUUACUUGUCACACAAAUUGUGAAGGCUAAUGACCACAUUUCUAUAAUGUGAACAAUAAUAUAAUAAUUAAUCGAGAAUAUCAAUUUGACAUGUUCCAAUUUAUACCUUUAGGGUUAGGAGCAUAUAAACUCGGAUAUGAUAUUUUGAAAAAUAAUUUAAAUGAUCUAUUCCUCCGUACAUAGUUGUGGCAAACCAGAUGACGCUCCCAUCGUAGAUGACGAUGAUGAUGCCUCCACUGUCCUACAUCCCUGGAUUACGUGCUAUAUAUUGGUUGAUUUGCUUAUUUCCCCUUUCAUUUGUUUCAUUAUGGAUUUUUGAACUAUGACUCCUUUAGUGUUGUGGGCUGCUACUUGUAUUUUUAAUUGGUCACAAAACUUCUUACUGCAAUAUAGGCCAUACUUUUGAUUCACGUGCCAUACUUUUGAUUCACGAUUGAAGGCCAUACCAAUAUUCUGCCGUACCUCUGCAUAAAACUCUGCUAGACAUCUAUAAGGCUUCAGUCCAUAGUUCUGCGCUGCUUGUUGGGCAGAGGAUGAUGUAUGAGAAAUCUUCCAUGGACGCUGACGUUUUAGAUGAAUCAGAGUUGGCUCUUUGGUGCUGGAGAUAAGAGAUCUGAAAUUGAUGCCUGUGAAAGCACAUGUUGAUAAGACACAUGACAAGAAUCUUGAUAAAUGUAUACAACUAAGGUGCUUUGGCAGGUUCAAAGUGAUGGUCAAGGUAAUUUUUUCUGCAAUUUUGGAACAUAUUGCCUAAAUCAGGUAUGUACGUAUCUAUAACAUGAAAGAGAUAAUUUUCUAGAAAGUUGUUUAAAUCAAAAUUAAGCCUUUCAAUUAUACUACAGCCAAUCUCAACAUCCAUGGUUGCAAGAAAAGAGUUUUCCUGUAUUGAUUGUUGAUUCUUGCACGGUCAUGAGGUGACACAUAUUAUACAACUUGCUAUAGUUGAGCUAUGCUGCUCCAAAUUGCUAUCUAUAUGUGUUCAGAUCUGCUCUAAAAUAAGGUAUUAUGAAGCUGGUAUGUAGCAACGAUUCAGCUAUUAUGGAAAACUAUAAUUAAUAUACAUGGUUUAUUCUAAUGGGAUUUCAAUUUAAUCUGCACACAAUGUGCUUGUUUUAUCUGGGUGAGCACCUUUUAAACCUUGGGAUCUAUUGGUAACAGCUCUUCCUCUCAUCCCUGUACAUGAGACUGUAUUUUUUUCAUAAAAGAGGGUUUGCAGUUUAGAGAUUAUUAAUUUUACUACUAACUUAUGAGCACCAUAACCAUAUAGGAGUAGUAAAAAGUUGACUGUUUUUUUCAGUGCCAUUCUGUGCUUGAAUGUUUUCUGACAAGCACUCCUAUGUAGGAUUUUUUAGUGCCAUUUGCUUGAAUGUUUUCUGACAAUUACUCAUGUUUAGGAUUCUAUAGAGAUUUAUCGAUACAUACUCGCAAGUUAAUGGAAAAUGAAAUACUUUUCUGGCUUUCUCUUGCAGGAAAUGAGAGAAGGUAGGAAAUGUAUAGCAACUUCCAUUUGCUGUCAGCACACGCCUUGAUUUAUUGGACACAUGAUUCAUCCAAUCUGGGACUUUUCAGGAGGUGGGCAGUUGUAACCUAUUUCCAGUUGUAAUUUCUUCAACCUUGAUCUGGAAGGCCACCAAUAGGAAUUCUUCUGCGACUUUAAAGCCAGGACUCGGCAGCCACAAACAUGAGUGCUAACUUUCAGGGAAGGAUGCUGUACUUGAGCAUUUUUCUUUUACUUAUUAGUGUAGCAUUUUAACCUUUGGUGUGAAACAAUAGUAUUCUAGCAGAUAAUUAAUUUUUCUGAUUUGUUGGAGGUCAAUUUAUUUCAUGCUAAGUUUAGAAUUUUUUGUUUGUUCCACGAAUGAUCACUUAGAUGUGUGGGUGAAUUUGAGCAUUGAUGAUAUAAUGGCAACUUAGAAUUUUGAAACUCCCGUAUCAACAGACGGACAAAUACUAUUUACAUAUGUACUCGAACUUGUAAUGAUGGUAUGAAGAUAAAGUGAAACUUAUUUAUGGAUUUAUUGGCAUAUGAAAAAUGGAUAUCAGAGAAUUCAUCAUGCUGAUAUAAAACACCAUCUUAGCCGCAUCACGGAAAGGUCUAUACAAUAUAGUUUGUGAGCCUGCGACGCCGGGCUCUCCUUGACUAUGUUAACUUUAUGAAUUUUGCUUUUUAAUUAAGUGUCACUUUAAUGUUGGUAUUUAAUUUUAUAGUAUUGUUAUCUUAUCGUGCGAUCUGUGUGUUUUUAAUAUAUAAGUUUAGUUGUCCCGUAGCAACGUAAGGAUAUGCUACCUAGUUAAUAUAUAAUUUUCUGAUCAAUCAAAGGUUUCGAUCAGGCUCAACCGCCCUUCAGCUCCUAUGACCUGUGGCGGCGCUGCCACAUGGAGACCGGAGAUAUCAACGUGGGUUCAGCAAACGUAGUGAAAGCAACAGCCGGCACCUGUACCAAUGCCGGUUUAAAAUAGCGGACCAUUGAAAAUAGCAACAAUUGUUUUUGAGUAGCUACGAAGCUAUAGCGACGCUAUGACAAAUAGUGUUUUUAUAAAAUAAUUAGCACAAAAAACACCAGUAAUUGAUGAAAAAACAUGCCAAAUAUAAAAUUCAUGAAUAUAGAUAUGUUUCUAAGAUUCCAUAGGUAACAUUACCAAUAUGAUAUUACAACAUAGUUCAUGAAACUUCUGUGUUUAAUUGUCCAAAAGAUCAAAUUAGUAGCAAAUCAAAAGUAGAAAAUAACUAUUUAAAUUAGUAAGCAAAUGAUAAGUAGGCAAACAUGAAAUAGCGUCGCUAUUUUAAGGUUAAAGCUAUACAAUUUAGUGGCGCUGCAGUGCGCAACAGUGGUCAAAGUUGGUAUAGCAACACAAAAAGCAAUAGCUUAGCGUCAAGUCUCUGCAGCUGCUAUAGGCCUCUAUUUUUUUCCAUGCAAUGCAACAAGCUAUACUAGGUGGCCAUAUGCAACCCUUGUAUCAGUAUAUGCUAGUGGGUACGGAAGCUCUCUAGUCACCACAACAUGUUUCACAAGUUCUCCACAGCACUGCUAGCUAGGUGCAAUGCAUUAAUAUCUAUUUUAUGUUUUCUCCAUUCAUGCAUUAUAUAGGCUAAACUUUCUUGUGCAUUAAUUUGUCAGAUAUGCAUAUACUUUGUCAUCCAUCAUUUGUAUGCAUACACUUAGGAAGAGCUUAGUCUAUGUAAUAUGAUUUAUCAAUUCCAUCCCACAUAUAAAGGAACAUAAAAUUUGACCUUCCCUCGUGCUAGUAAUGUCUUCUACUCCCUCCGUCUCAAAAAGCAUGUGAUCUUUAGGUUUAAAUCUUGUCUCAAAAAGCAUGUAAAACUAGAUUGAAGAUAAGGUUUAUGAUGGGACCCACUAAUAGAAAAACACAUGCAAUUGAAAAAACAUGUUAACUCUGCACUUCAAAGAUUCUAGAUGAUUGAUACACAUGUAAUUGAAAAAACAUGUUAACUGUGUACUUCCAGUGAAGAUUCUAGAUGGUUCUUUUGAGUUCUAGAUGUGUGUUGAGAAAAAGACAGCAGGGGUAUAUGCCUAAUUUCAUAUCUUCACUAAUAUGGCCUUGAAAAAUGAGAUUUACAUGUUUUGUGGGACGGAGGGAGUAUUUUGGUGUUUCAUUCGAAAGGGGAAGAAUUUGAAGGACCAAAAUCAAGCCCAACUAAUACCAAAAUCACAAAUUCAAAAUUCUUUGAGGUUACUAGUGGUAUUGAAUGAAGGCAAAGUUUAUUUUGGGAAUAGUCCAAGAAAGGCAGAAAGUGGAUUAUGGAAUUAGGGGGGCUUAAGUCCCAAUACCACAUAAGGGGAUUGGACAAGGGCAAGAUAAGUAUUACUUGUGUUUCCAAGUGAUAUCUUUUAGCAUCAUAUGGUCUUGCCUAUGCAUCGCAUCCUAGUAAGUAUUGUGCAUUUUAUUUUUUUAUAUCUAGUAUUCUUCUUGCUUUGAUCAUGUUGCCAUCAAGCACAAAAAAUGUGGAGAUUGUAAGGAAAAUAGACCCUAUAGGCCAUUAAGUUUGGAUUUUGGUGUUUAAUAUGAUGAUCAACAUGAUCAUUUGAACUAACAAUAUUUGGUAGUAUACAAGGUAUAAUUGAAAUGGAUGCAAGGUGGUCUUAGACUUAGGCAACAUGAUGGUAUGAAUGAUCACUACCUCAAGAAAGAUAUUAGAAGUCAUAUUGAAGACUUGCAAGACAUAGUAGAAGUCUAAGACAUCAAAAAGUAGAAGCCCGGACACAAAGACACAAACGAAAUUGAAGCCACGGAAGCUGACACAACAGACAACAAGAAAUGUUGUAAUGGAUAGGUUUUGGAGUUGGGGCUAUUUAUACCUCUCCAUUCGGCCAAGAAAGGGGUGCUUGUAGUUUUGGGAGACCAAGCCAACCAUAUUUGUGGUGCAAGACCUACGGCGUUUUGGCUAGAAGCUCGAUAGUGAAGAUAGUGAAGAUGGUGGGGAGCGGUCCAGGAGAGGCCAUCUUGAAGAACCACUUGCGCAUGAGGAAGGCCCUGGAGGCUAUUCAUUGAGUUACCUAACUAGGAGCUUGGCUCUUACGAGGACAUCUCCUUGCGAGGGGCUCCAACGAGGACAAAGGGAAGCGAGGAGUUUCUUGAUACCUCAGUAAAAAUAUUGGUGUCAUCAAAUGAGAGUUUGCAUCUCUUUCACCCUUUACCUUAUGCGCUUAAUUUAUGUACACUGGUUAUGUAUAUUGGCGAAUCCAGCUCAAGAAAUGAUCUAGGACGAACUUAUACUAUAAAAUUUUGGAUAACCAACAACAACAUGCAUUCCAAGAACAAAAGCUGUAGAAAACCAAUAAAAAUCAAGGCAAUGCAGCUUUUGAACCAAAUAUAUCUCCAGCUUCAUUUACUCUCCUAUCCACAGUGGCUUCAUCUACUCCUCCAACCAUCAUCAAAAUAAAAAAAAUCCUAUAGAGUUGGUUAGUUGGGCAUUCUAAGCACACAACACAGGGAACGAGCUAGUUUAUAGUCAGCUGGAGGCCUAAAGCUAGGGGCUGGGCUCUAGGGCAGCGAGGCCAGGCUACUGGGCAUCGGGGGGAGGCGAGGGAGCCGUGGCUGCUAGUGGUGGCUAGAUGAGAUCUAGGGAUGCUGAGGGCGACUGGGCAAGUGUGAGCCUGCAAGCCACAAUGGCGCGAUGGUCGUCUUCGCAUUCAUCGCAGGAGCUAGAACUGUGCAGUCGUGGAGCAGGCAAACGGAGUGCUGCCUGCCCUAAGGCCGCCUGGCUUGGGUUGCGAUGUUGGGUGUCUGUUGGGCCACAUCUAGUCUUAGGAGGCCAAAGCACUAGGCCCAUGAUGUCCCAAUCCCCAUCUCCACCUAGACAGAAGCAGUGUCGCCGCCGUCUUCAACCUCGACUCCUUGGCUACUAAGCCUCGCGCGUUGCCUCCUCUCGAGAUGCUAGCUCUGGUGUGGGGAAGGGGUGCUCGGCCAUAGGGACCUAGGGAGGCCACCUAGCUGCAUGCUCCUAGUGGUAGCUCCACCUCCUGGUUGUGUACUAACUUUUCUAGUUUAGUUUGAUAGGCUAAUUGAUUAGAUUGGAACCUAGGGUGCAUAACUUUUGUGUGGUAGAGAUACACUACAAGAAACACAUGGCUUUUUAACGUUCAGUUAUGUCACAAUAUAUGGAAUUUAUGUUACAAAUUAAGAUUUGUGACAUCAAGUUGACAAAAACCAAAACGUGGAAAAGCCCGCGUCAUAAAAUGAUUAUGUGACAUUUGUUUGGUUCAUGUCACAAGCAUAUGACAUUGGUUUUUUGUCACAAAAUCGUAGAUCUUGCCACGUGGCAGCUGACAUGGCAGGGAGAAAAAAUGUCACAAAAUGAGUUUUGGCCUACUAAAGCCCACAUAGCUCAUGGGCCUGAAAUCUAUUUAAAGUAGUUUUAGGUGGUCCAUUAUUUUCAGUUAUAGCCUAUAUAAAUAUCGAGCCCACAACAAUCAGCCCAUAUAAUUUUUUUUGCCCUGUAACACCCAAAAUUUGGCUCCUCUAAAAAUAGAUGAAUUUGGCUU